rnacentral:rRNA from 1 species
CGCAACCCUUACUGUUAGUUGCCAGCGGGUCGAAGCCGGGAACGUCUAACGGGACUGCACCGUAAGGUGAGAGGAGGGUGGGGGAUGACGUCAAAUCAGCACGGCCCUUAUGUCCAGGGCUACACACGUGUUACAAUGGUCGGUACAAAGGGCAGCUACACCGCGAGGUGAUGCUAAUCUCUAAAGCCGGUCUCAGUUCGGAUCGAAGUCUGCAACCCGACUUCGUGAAGUUGGAUUCGCUAGUAAUCGCGCAUCAGCCAUGGCGCGGUGAAUACGUUCCCGGGCCUU